AGGGUGACCAGAUGUCCCAAUUUAUAGAGACAGUCCCGAUUUGGGGGUCUUUUUAUAUAGGAUCCUACUACCCCCACCCCCUGGCCUGAUUAUUCAC